rnacentral:rRNA from 1 species
GUUCAUGACCUCGAACUUGCUGCUGUCAUUCAUGCACUAAAACAGUGGCGACAUUACCUACUCGGUAAUCGUUGCGAGAUCUUCACUGACCACCAAAGUCUGAAGUAUCUAUUUACUCAGCCAGACCUGAACCUCCGUCAGCAGAGAUGGAUGGAGACUGUUGCAGACUUUGAUUUGGGUAUUUCCUAUACCCCAGGCAAGGCUAAUGUAAUGGCUGAUGCCUUGAGCCGCAAGUCUUACUGCAACCACCUCCAGGUUCACAAAGUUCAGCCCUCACUUGUUGAAGAAUUCAGAAAACUAAACCUCCAUAUUGUUCCUCCGGGUGCACUCGCUCCCCCUCCCCCGGAGUUCCGCAAGAUGAAUCUCCGUGUUGUUUCCCAGGGUUCCCUCUAUACCCUGGCUGUUGAACCCGAUCUCGUGGGCACCAUAAAGACAAUGCAGGGAUUUGACUCUGAAGUCUACAAGAUUAAGCAAGACCUCAAAGAAGGAGGUUCCUCAUCCUUCACUAUUGCUGAUGAUGGCGCCUUGUACUUCAAAGGCCGCCUAGUGGUGCCGUGUAAGAAGGAAAACCUGAAUAUGACCCAGGAGGUUAUGAAAGAAGCUCAUGAUACGCCUCUAUGUAUCCAUCCUGGUAGUACGAAGAUGUAUCAAGACAUCCGCCAGAGAUUCUGG